UAGCUCCUUUUUCUAAACUGGUAUGAAAGAUAAAUGUUUUAUUUUGAUUACUCUAUCAUAGCAUUAAAACAAUGUUAUGACAAAAUAAUCAGUAACCAACCGGGAAGAUAAAAUCACUUACUCCGCCAAAAAUUUAGUGAAAAUUUUCAGAUCUUACCCCAAAAAACCUUUAAAGUGCCAAAUCAAAACAUUAAAAAAUAAAUAAAAAGUUGGUUAGAGAGGAAAAUAAAACUUUCACGAGCUAGAUCAUCUUCUCUUCCAUAUAGCCUCGCCGUCUCUGAUCUUUUUCUUCUUCUCCACUGUUUCCCUAAACCUUCUUUGUUCUCUCACUGUGUCGUCCUCUCUCUCUCUCCCCCUUUAUGUCAUUUUUUUUGUCAAAGAGCUUCGACGGUCGUAUACACACCAUGUGUUCGAUGAAAUCACUGUGAUGGUGUUGUGAUGGGAUAUUGAAAGGGUUCUAUCUUAAACAACGAUUGUUGUUCUUCCUCGCUCUUGUUAUCAGUCGCUCUCACACAAUCGCGAUUUGCAAAAGUUGUUGGAGAUAGAGAUCUAAAAGUUUGGAUUUUUGGUUGGUUUAAUUAGUUUGGAGAUAGAAAAAGACGAGGAGGCAAUUCACGCCCUUCCCCACAUUCUCCGCUGUUUGGAGAUAGAGAAGCUUCUCUUUUCUUGUAAUCACAAGACAGGUUUUUGCAUUGAGAGAUGGGUGAUAGUGAAGGAAGUGAUCUCCAAAGUCCAAGCAUUGUGGGAAGAUUUUGAAGUGACUUUAAGUUUGAAAGGGUAGACUGUUAAGAAGAUAUGAUGGUUUGCGGGAAUCAAUGGCAGUAAUCACUGAUCAUGCCAAGCUUCUCGUCAAGUUUUGACUCUUUUGACUCUAACACAAUGUGUGUGGGAUUCUCGCUGUUCUUGGUUGCAUCGACAACACUUAAGCUAAACGUUCUCGUAUCAUCGAACUCUAUCGCGGGUUGAGGCAUAGAGGUCCUGAUUGGAGUGGAGUCCAUUGUUAUGAAUAUUGUUAUCUUGCUCAUGGGCAUUUAGCCAUCAUUGACCCAACUUCUGGAGACCAACCGCUCUAUAUCAAAGACAAGACCAUCGUUGUCACGGUCAAUGGAGAGAUAUACAACCACAAGGUUUUGCGUGAAAAGCUCAAGUCUCAUCAAUUCCACACUGGUAGCGACUGUGAAGUGAUUACACACCUUGUAAGUAUGUGUAAUUGAGAAAAGACUGAAUUGUUGCUUAUGGAUUACUAUCUGCUGUACCUUUUUGCUUAUUGCCAGUUAGUGAAAAUGUAACUGAGCAUAUUUAUUGUUGCAUUUUGGUCUGUCUUGCAGUACGAAGAACAUAAAGAAUACGUCAUUUUGGUCUGUGUAAAAUGACUUAUAACAUUAUUUUAAAAAAUUAAAAAAACCUGAUAACAAUAUGGUAGAAGACUCUAUCAUAGCAUAUUUAUACGACGCUAUUGUAUGUGUGAUAUCUACGAUAACAGUGAUCUAACAUAGCGUUUGUGAAAAAGUUAUGAAUGACCUAUUAUAGCAUUUUUCUACUGCUA